UUUUGAAUGCAUAGAUAUCAAUGAGUGUAACCAAACCAGUGCUGCCCUGUGUCCCAACGGCUACUGCUACAACAUGUACGGCGACUACACAUGUAACUGUUUCCCAGGAUUCGUCCAUCACCCUAACGGAAAGACAUGUGUCUUAAGUCAAACCAACACCAACACCACCACCGGCAACAAUGGCAUCUUCGACUUGCUCAACAGCAUCCCGACCUGGCUGUGGCCGUAUAUCUUGGGAGAGCUGUAGGGUGAAGAUCCCUGGCUGUGGCCGUAUAUCUUGGGAGAGCUGUAGGGUGAACAUCCCAACACUGUCAACAUAAUUGAUGCAGUGUACUGGUCACGCCGACAGACUGAAGCGCGUCUAACAAUCGUAGGAAAUGUAACACAGUUUGAGUAAAGAUUUAUAAUCAUG